CUAAACUUGCCAAGGGGCAGGAUUUCUUGCCAGCCUGUUCUGAAAAGCCUUCAUUUUCCUUAGCUUUACAAAGUCAUCUGUCCUUUACCAAGAUAAUAAUGUUGAUCCAAAUUUGUGACAUUUUAUGUUUGGACAAAGCGUCCCUUCCAUGGCCUACCCCUACCCUUAAAAUGUACUUCCCCCUUAAGCAAUCCAAAGCCCAUUUGGAAUAGGCAAGCCAACCGCCCCUUCUCUUUGUGAUGUGCUCCUGUUAUCCUCUCCAUACUCUCCAUUCCUGGUACACUUCAAACUUCUGUGCUUCGCAAUCCAGGUACUUCUACCCUUCGAGUCCUUCAAGUUUUCAUCUCCAUCCCCUUCUCUGUGCCUAACACUCAAUACAAAACAAGACAGACUCUCCAGAUCCUCCUUCCUUGUACCAUCAAGACAAGCAAACAUAUUCUUUCCAUUAUGCGAUUUUUAUUGAAAAUCCUUAUGAAUAACAAACCAGACAUAAGUGUAGGGAAAUUAAAAACAUCCUGAAUUUUAUCAAAGACUUUCUAGUUGGAGCGCCAAGUCUGCUUCUCAUAUGAAGGAAUGGAAGAAACUUAGGGUUUGAAACUUUAAUUUUUAUUCCUGAACUAGAAAUCCCCAAGCUUCCCCUUUCUUCCUGUCUCUACUUCUUGUUCCAACUUUGGUAAAGCCCCAAGAUCUCCAGUGUUUCAUGGAUCCCUGCCAAUGGAAUCCAUCAUUCUCCUUGUUCAAUGGUUCCAGUAGUAAAACAAAUGCAAGCUGACUUUCACAAACUUCAGACACCAAUUUCCUUAGUCUAAAAAGACUAAAUAUUA